CCGCCCGUCGCUCCUACCGAUUGAAUGGUCCGGUGAAGUGUUCGGAUCGCGGCGACGGGGGCGGUUCCGCGCCCCCGACGUCGCGAGAAGUCCAUUGAACCUUAUCAUUUAGAGGAAGGAGAAGUCGUAACAAGGUUUCCGUAGGUGAACCUGCGGAAGGAUCAUUG
rnacentral:ncRNA from 1 species